ACGAGAAACAAGGAGGUCGUCUCUCCUCUUCAUGCGACGGCGACCCAAUACCCUCUGCACUUCUUCUCACCAUUAAAGGCUUCGUCUUGAUCACAAGGCUUCGUGUUUGAUCACAUUGAUUCGCUCUCCCAUUACGUUGCUUUGUUUCGAUCUGAUAAGGGUGAUUUCUGUAUAAAUAUGCGUGAGUAGUCAUCUCCUUGAUCUGAAUUCCGACAAGUUCUCCUCCAUAGUCGAGGCUAGGGAACGUAAAAAGAGACAGCGACAUGCUCCUCCUAUGCUAAGGUUGCAGAGUGAUUGACUGUUGAUGGAAUAUUGGAGAGCUGGGAAAAGACUAAGCGGGUUAUAAUGGAAGCUUGGGAAGAAGAAGAUAAAGAUGCUUAUGGUUGGAUUAAAAAGGACUCGACAACUUGGAUUGGUGACAAUAGGUAUGUCUUCGAGAUCAAUUCCUAAAGGACACAAGUUUUGAGACCUAUAUUGUCAAAACAACAUGUCAUAUAGUCACAGUUUCAUCUUCUCUUGCACUAUACCUUCAUAGAUUUGAUAUAUAUUCUACUAUAUUUGCAUAUUAUAUUGAGGAGUUUCAGAUGCAUUGAAAUUUGCUACCUCUAAGCUUUACAUUGUUACCACACUGUAAUGUAUGAACUCGCUAUUAAUAGCUGAACUUGGUUAGUAUGGGUGAGGAAAUUGCAAGGCCUCUUUGUAUAAGCGUUACUUCGUGAAAUAUCAUGUGUAAUCA